UACGGGGGGGGCAAGCGUUGUUCGGAAUUACUGGGCGUAAAGGGCUCGUAGGUGGCCUACUAAGUCAGACGUGAAAUCCCCAGGCUUAACCUGGGAACUGCGUCUGAUACUGGAUGGCUUGAAUUCGGGAGAGGGAUGCAGAAUUCCAGGUGUAGCGGUGAAAUGCGUAGAUAUCUGGAGGAAUACCGGUGGCGAAGGCGGCAUCCUGGACCGAGAUUGACGCUGAUGAGCGAAAGCCAGGGGAGCAAACGGG
rnacentral:rRNA from 1 species